CUGGUCUUGAACUCACAAGGAUCCUCCUGCCUCAGCCUCCCGAGUGCUGCGUUACAGGCGUGCGCUACCACGCCCGUCAGUGUCCUAGUUUUAAGCCUGAAACUAAAGGAAAAAAACAUCCUAGAAGGGACAGCAUCCAGAAGAAAGGAACCGUGGGCGCAGAGUGGAGCGGAACCACCGUGGCAUCGCGGGACAUCCCUAUCUCUGGCCUGUUGAAUGGAUAGAGAGAAGGAGGCCUGGAAACAUCUCCCAGGUGAUGAUAAUCUAUUGUCUAUCGUCUUCAUUCCCACGGCCAGAGGUUGUUUAAAGACUGAGGUAAUGUUUUGGUUUGACGGGAUCCAGUGCCCUUUGGCUGCUAGAAACAGUCCUGGGUAAGACUGACGAUUGUAAGGCUGGGCUAGUGUUAGUGGCCAAGGGCAUCACAAUAAAGAUGUGUCUGUA